rnacentral:rRNA from 1 species
CGGAGGGCGCGAGCGUUGUUCGGAAUUACUGGGCGUAAAGCGCGCGCAGGUGGGUGCGUAAGUCGGAGGUGAAAGCGCAGGGCUCAACCCUGCGACGCCCUUCGAGACUGCGUGUCUAGGGACCGGUAGAGGUGAGUGGAAUUCCCGGUGUAGCGGUGGAAUGCGUAGAUAUCGGGAAGAACACCGGAGGCGAAGGCGGCUCACUGGGCCGGAUCCGACACUGAGGCGCGAAAGCGUGGGAGGCAAACAGGAUUAGAUACCCUCGGUAGUCCACGCCGUAAACGAUGGGUGCUAGGUGUCGGGGGGAGCGACCCCUCGGUGCCGCAGCUAACGCAUUAAGCACCCCGCCUGGGGAGUACGGCCGCAAGGCUG